rnacentral:rRNA from 1 species
GUGGGGAAUCUUGCGCAAUGGGCGAAAGCCUGACGCAGCCAUGCCGCGUGAAUGAUGAAGGUCUUAGGAUUGUAAAAUUCUUUCACCGGGGACGAUAAUGACGGUACCCGGAGAAGAAGCCCCGGCUAACUUCGUGCCAGCAGCCGCGGUAAUAAGAAGGGGGCUAGCGUUGCCCGGAAUUACUGGGCGUAAAGGGCGCGGAGGCGGAUCGUUAAGUCAGAGGUGAAAUCCGUAGAUAUUCGGAAGAACACCAGUGGCGAAGGCGACAUACUGGCUCAUUACUGACGCUGAGGCGCGAAAGCGUGGGGAGCAAACAGGAUUAGAUACCCGUGUAGUCC